rnacentral:rRNA from 1 species
GAUGAACGCUGGCGGCAUGCCUAAUACAUGCAAGUCGAACGGGAUAUCAUCGGAUAUCCAGUGGCGAACGGGUGAGUAACACGUAGGUAACCUGCCCAUGUGCCCGGGAUAACGCCUGGAAACGGGUGCUAAAACCGGAUAGGUAUCGCUUCUGCAUGGAAGAGAUAUUAAAGGAGCUGCAAGGCUCUGAACAUGGAUGGACCUGCGGUGCAUUAGCUGGUUGGUGAGGUAACGGCCCACCAAGGCGACGAUGCAUAGCCGGCCUGAGAGGGUGAACGGCCACAUUGGGACUGAGACACGGCCCAAACUCCUACGGGAGGCAGCAGUAGGGAAUUUUCGUCAAUGGGGGCAACCCUGAACGAGCAAUGCCGCGUGAGUGAGGAAGGUCUUCGGAUCGUAAAGCUCUGUUGCAGGAGAAAAACGGCAGAUAUAGGAAAUGAUAUCUGAGUGAUGGUAACCUGCCAGAAAGUCACGGCUAACUACGUGCCAGCAGCCGCGGUAAUACGUAGGUGGCGAGCGUUAUCCGGAAUGAUUGGGCGUAAAGGGUGCGUAGGUGGCCUUAUAAGUCUGGAGUGAAAGGCGGCAGCUCAACUGCCGUAUGCUCUGGAAACUGUGAGGCUGGAGUGCAGGAGAGGGCGAUGGAA